rnacentral:rRNA from 1 species
CAGUCGCCGCGGGAAUACGAAGGGGGCUAGCGUUGCUCGGAAUGACUGGGCAUAAAGGGCGCGUAGGCGGCUGACACAGUCAGAUGUGAAAUUCCUGGGCUCAACCUGGGGACUGCAUUUGAGACGUGUUGGCUUGAGUGGAGAAGAGGGUCGUGGAAUUUCCAGUGUAGAGGUGAAAUUCGUAGAUAUUGGAAAGAACACCGGAGGCGAAGGCGGCGACCUGGUCUUUAACUGACGCUGAGGCGCGAAAGCGUGGGAGCAAACAGGAUUAGAUACCCGCGUAGUCCCUGUCUCUUAUACA